AACACUGGUGCGGCCUUUGCGUCCGGCUUCAGGGGCGGGUUCAACACCGGCGCCGAAUAUCGGAACGGUGCAGGAGGCUGCUCCAACACGGGCGCGGCCUAUGAUGGCUCUGAUGUCUGGGGCAGCAACAACCUUGGAGCCCACUACGCUGACGGCUCAGGUGGCGGCCACGGCAACAUCGGCGCCACCUACAAAGGUGGCGCAACUGGCGGCGGCAAUGUCGGUGCCUGCUUCGGGGGCAAUCCUAGCCGUCUUGGUGCUGGCCGCGGCGGUUAACGGAACCCCCGUCAGGGGGUUUGAGGCAGUCUGGGACGGCGUUGUCGGAUCCAACUAUCUCGACCGACGGGCCUCCCGCUGCUAUCAGAUAAACCUUGAGCCACCGUGUAUUAUGGUUCCAUAUAUAGUUAUGUAUCCAUGCUUGCUAUUGGCGAAUAAAUAAGGCUCUUCCUAAAGUUCGUUUCCGCAGUUCACCAUCUCGCGCUCCGUUCUUUUGUUUUUUGGGCACAACCCUGUCUCGCUUUUGAAUUGAUGAUGGGUGAGCAGUUGGAGGAACGUAGGCGAUCGGUUGCUUCCGAGUAGAAGUUUGCACCGGAAGUGGCCCAUCGCUGACAGCUAUGCCCUGACUUGUCUCAUAUUUGUUUACUGAGAAGCUACGGAUCGCGGUUCAAUCUUUCGCGCGAAAGAAGGAAUCCACCGUUGGAUCAUCCAACGCACACAUCUCAAAGCGCUCCGAAUGCCGGCAUCCAUCAGCCUGCAGAGCCGUCAGACGUGAGCGGUGGAUUCGGGAGAACGAAGGUGAAUCCUGCUCCCGCGCCCAGGAUACAGCAACGACGCAGAAGCCGCCGAUAAAAGCAUGAGGUGCUGGGACUGGAAAAUAAAUCCUCCAAUAACGAAAAAAAAGAAGAACAUAAUGCAGCUCAAUGUGAUUGGGCCCAUAUGAUGGCUUAAGUUUUAGUUGGAUUGGGUCUACUGUUGAGUUGCGUACUAGUCUAACCAUAAAGCGGUACGCGCAAUCGCACAUGUAACCUGCGCGUUGUCUGCUCAUCCAUCAUUGUGCAUGUUGCUUUAUUUAAUUCUUUUAUGGUUGGCCCGGAGAGAGAAGUUUAAGCUAAAUGAAAGAAGGCAACUUUGUCUGCCCCUUCAUAUUCAUUCCAGGCCUUCAGAACAACCUGACAAAGGAUGACUGUAAAUUGAACAUCCCUUGUGUUUUUCAAGCAAGCUUGAUUUCGGUGGGAUCGGAAGCUUAAUUGUGAACAUAUGAGCCAAUUUUUUGUUUGCUCGGUUUGGGACUGAGCUCCACAAGACUAGCUGUUAGCCUUGAAUCUUGAUGGGUUUGGCUUUGGUGCUAUCUUACGGAAAUUCAGACUUGGUUUAGGUUAGGCAUGUUGCUCAUAUAGGGUUAGCAUUUUUCUUCAACCAAAGCCCGACACCAACCAAUUGUGGCCGCUUCAUUGGGCCCAAUCUGGGAUUUAGCCCAGUCCUGGUGGUUAGCUGAAAUUAAAUGCAUGCAGCUGAAUAUUUGUGCGGAUAGGAGGUGGAGAUUGUAAAAUAAUGGUCGCACAUAUCCAAAGAAAAUGUAAAAUAGUUGCCACCAUUUGGCUAAUAACAAUUUUUUCACGAGAAAAAGACCUAUUAUCAGAAUAUAGAUCCAAUUACAAUAGUUUUUUUUGCAAUCAAAUCUCUAUAAACAAUGCCAUUAUUAGAUAGUUGUUCUCCUUUUCUUUAACUAUUACAACGUAAAACGGAUAUAAAAAUAUUAUUUUACUUUUAGAAUAUGUAAGAUAAUAAAAAUAUAUAGGUUAAGGUAACAAAUGAUACAUAUAUUGAGAUAUUGGCUAAUUCAAGUGAAUAUGAAUAGACUAUCUUUUGGCCUUUUUCUAUCGAAAAAAUCGUUCUAUAUAUAUUUUGAGAUUUUAUUUUGAUUUAGCACCUAUUUUUUUGUGUGUCUCUGUAUACAUUGUAUACAUCGUAGUGGCAACAUCAAGGUUCAACUGGCGACUGACAAACAUGCAAGAAAAUAAAAUAUUGAGGGCAGCCGUCUGGUACAUAGUCACCGCAUGCCUAAAAAAAUAUAGAGCUAAUUCCUCCUCUUGCCUGUCCCUCCAUUCAAAAAUAACUGUAGAAUAUUUUCAAAUAAGCAAAUAAUGAUGGAAACCCCUCUAUAUAUAUAUAUAUAUUUGGCGAACCAACGUAUAUAAUUAAAUUUAGCUCUACCGACCUUUUGAUUUUUUUAACCUAAAAUGAUGUAUUUAGUUUUUUAAACUUCAAAUAGAUGAAUUAUGUUUUGUCACAAAAUUAUUAAUAAAUGAUACCAUCUUCACAGGACAUAAUUUUCUUUUGAGCAGCUCUCGUUAGCUCGCACCGUGAACUAACUGCAAGCAGUGCUUGCAAUCCCUAAUGAAAUCUGCUGCAAUCUAUGGGAUCGUGCAACCCGUAUUAUACCGGAAUAUUGCCGGCUGGAUUCGGCAUGGGCAGCCAAAGCAUAUCCAAAAUUCGAUGGCUGGGUAAGGAAUCGAGCCAUCCACCUAUCAUUCCCUCCUGCGAAUUAGCAUCUCAGGGAAAGAAAAAUUUCGCAUCUUUUUCGCUAUCCAUCUUUCGCAUGUUUCCCUCCCGUGUCGUCAACUACCAUGCAGAGAGUUUGUAUCAGUGGCUAAACUAGUUCAAUUUGAUGGUUAGACCUUGACAGCGUUGAUUCAACUGCUAGCUUCGACGACAGUUAUUGCACCGUCAGUUGACUUGGUGGUGUGAAGGGUGGUUGUGAGUCGCCCUGGACUCGGAGUCCGUCUCAAAGUAAGGUCCGAAGCAUUUGGACGGUAGGCGGUUGCCAUCAGAUUGCUUCUGGUGGUGGCUAGUGCACUGGUAGAUGGGUUCUAUAGGAGUACAAUUUGCCAUUAUUAAGAUGUUGGGCCGUGAUGACCUAUUGUGGUUGAGUUUCGGCCUGCAUCACUCCCUUCGCUUAUUUUUAUAAAUGAGUUAGAUGAUGUAAGGAAUAAAAAAUUAUGAAAAAAGUUAUUGUCGAGAAAAAUUAUUUAGGACCUUAGCAUGAUUUUUCAUAUGGCAAUCAAAAUAAUCAUGUAAGGCUUUUUCCCAAGAGAGAAUUUGAAGACUUGCUUUCCUUUGUAGUCUGAGUAUGAUUUCAUGACAUUCACAAAGCUGCUCGUCAACUCCUCUGCACUGCCACAAGACAAGUUUAUGGCUUCUAUAAUCUGAAUGGCUUAUUGCAUGCUUGCCAUGCCCCCUUUUUUAGUUUUCUGGUUGUUGGACUCUUUCUUAUUGGUGGACUAAUCUCUGUGCAUCUAAGUUCCUAAAUACGUCUAACCGGCAAUGCUGGUGGGUGCACUCUGCUAUUUAUUCUGAUCUGGUAUUUGCUUGUGAAGCGCUUAUGCAUUUUUCUUCGUGCGCUGAUGAGAUGUAUCGAAAAUAGAGAUAUGUCCACGCAAGGUAACAGUAAGUCGAUCAAAUUUCUCAUACUCUUUUUAUAUUUCUUAAUUAUGAAUAUUAUAAACUAGGAUAAAAUUGGAUUCGGCAAUGCCCCAUGCAUUUCUACUAUACAAUAUAAAAUCACAAUUGGUAAGAGCAAUAAAGACAAGAGAUUUGUUAUCCACUAACCAAUAAUAGCAAUGGUGGGCCCUUCAUAUUUCCAGCAGAAUGCAAUCCUAUAGGCCCCAGCAUGCAAUGGCCUCUCAUAUUACUAAAUUUUAGUUAGAUCAGAUUCCUAGAUAAGCCAGCGGAUCAUUCCUACUGUGAAACAACGUUUCCAAAUAUGUGUGUAUUGCCUGCUUUUUUAUUUUUAUUCGUUGGCAUAAAAAUAAUGCUUCUCUCACACGUAAUUUCUAGCUGUUAUUUUUAUUGUGCGGUUGGAAUGAUCCAUUCAACUCGGCAGUGAAUUUGAUCUAACUAAGACUUCUCUCACACGCAAUUUCUACUAAGACUCCGGCACCAUUUCAUGUGACGCAAUUUCUAUUGCGAGAGGCAUUGAAUCUGGCGACUCUGAUUCGGGUGCAAUGACUCCGGCACCAUUUCAUGUGACGCAAUUUUUAUUAGGAGAGGCAUUGAAUCUGUCAACUCUGAUUCGGGUCCGAUUACCCCGGCACCAGUUCAUGUCAGUGAAUUCAACCCCUCCGCGGAACUCAAAACGUGGUGAGCGCCCGCUCGGAUCCGGAUCAGCUGACGAGUGUCCCGCCGCCUGGGGCAGCCUGGGUCAGUCAAUUCCCCAUAUGCGCCUCACCUGCAAGUUCACACUCCCCUGUCCCUCGCGCGUGCGGUCCGCCGUGGACUGCGAUGUGCCACAUCGGACUGAGAAAACUAUAUAAAUAUAAAUAAAAACCCCCUCUCCCCGACUCCCCCUUAAAACAACCCCCACCGGACUCCAGUCUCAUACACCCCAUCUCAUCCCGCGCUCUCUUCACAGAGAUAGCAGCACCAUGGACUUCGAGGACUCCUCCUCGUCCAGCUCUUUCUCACCCAAUGAAGUCUCUCCUUCGCACGUGCCAGCCACCAGCUCCUCUUCCUGCUGCUCCGCCUCCCCGCGAGUGCCUGCAAAGUCGCCGAAGCGCCGAGCAGGGAGGAAGAAAUUCCGGGAGACGCGCCACCCGGUGUACCACGGCGUGCGGGAGCGCAACGGCGGCAAGUGGGUGUGCGAGGUGCGGGAGCCCCGAAAGAAGAGCCGCAUCUGGCUCGGGACCUACGCCACGCCGGAGAUGGCCGCCAGGGCCCACGACAUCGCCGCAAUGGCGCUUCGCGGCAAAGCGGCGCUCCUCAACUUCCCCGACUCGGCGUGGACGUUGCCACCGCCGGCGUCGUCCUCCGCUGAGGAUAUUCGGCGUGCUGCGUCGAAGGCGGCCGAGAUGUUUCGGCCUACCGUGUCAUUGCCAGCGCCGCAGGCGCAGCCGGCGGCGGUGGUCGUGGACGAGGAGGCUUUGUUCAACAAGCCCGGAUUGUUGGAUGACAUGGCGAGGGGACUGAUGCUGACGCCGCCAGCUAUGCAGAAAGGGUUCGACUGGGAUGGCGUGGAAUGCCAAAUGGACCUGUCGCUGUGGACUGACUGAAAUUGUUUUUUUUUUUUUUCGCUAAGGGACUGAAAUUUUUUCGGUGCACACCUGCGGGUCUGGCACUGACCAGGUGGCACAGGCGGAAGCUUAGAGUUAGGAUCCACAGGAAAGAAAUAUUUUGCCACUUUCUUUGUUUGUACAGAGAACUUUAGUAGCCGGAUUGUGUAGUACUUUAACGGUAGUUAAUUUUGCAGUAGGUUUGUAGAUCUCAUCAAAAUCAACUCCAUAAUUUUUUGAGAAUUCUUUUGCUCUAAGUUAGCACUCAUUAAAACCAUCACACUCCCUUUUCACCUUGCACGCUUACUUGCAAGAAAUAAGACAAGUACCACUAAGCAAAGGAGCUAAAUCCUAUUUUUCAUUCUUUUUAAAAAUUGAAUUUUUUUUCACAACAUUCUCUCAAAGAUCAGUAUCCUUGACUCACCAUACAAAGUGAGUUUUUGCAUACCAAUAAUAGUAGAAACGCAAUAAUAAGUAAGAAAAAAAUAAUUCCAAUUUGCAUGUGAGUUACUACUUUCUUCUUUCUUUUGCUUUCAUAUAAUAGUAAUGGAUCUUUAAGAGUUUCAUGUUCAUCUUCGCGUAAUCUCAUGUCAUCUUCUUCUCUAAUAAUAUCUUCUUUUUCUUAGAAUUUGAGAUAUUUACACCAUUUUCUUAUAGACUUUUAUGACUACAAGAAGAAGGGAAAGGUGAAGAUGUCUCCGUCUGCUAAGCCACAGAAGGAGAAAAAGGUUGAAUACCUUACCUUUCUAGAGCGACAUUCUCUUCAAAUAUACGAUCCCCAUUAGCAUUAGUAAGUAAUUAAAGAUCACCAAAUAGAAAAUAUGACCCAUCACAAGACCACCAAGAAGAAUUCUCAUAAAAAAAAUAUGUUUGAAAAUAUAAAUCUCCAACCUUUCCUAACCUCAUUAUAGCUAAGAUAUAUCCACUUGACAAACUUCUUAAUUAGCUUAUAUAUUAGAGAAAUCAUCAUAAUCAUAUACAAAGAAAGUACAUCCAAACAUUCGAAGAUGAGAAAUAUUUUGUGAUUAAUACUCCUCAAAUAUGUCUCAUUAAUAACAUAUACUGUCGUUUGCAUGUACUCUGUCUAAAAUUCAUGCUUCACAUUCUUUGCAUGAAUCACACUAUGGAUAGUUAAAUAGUUAGAGAAAUCUUUAAAAAUAUAUUUGUCACCACUAGUUCUUAAACAACCAAUUUUUAAUCUCAAGAAAUUUUCAAUGAGAUUUUUAAAUUAAUAAAAUUUUUCAAACACUUUUAAUACUUCUCUAAAAAAAUAAGCCAGACAUAUCUAGAGAAAUUAUCAAUAAAGAUACCUGCAUACCUCAUACCAAUGAAAGAUGCAGUACCAAUCCUUCGAGUGAGAUCUGAAUGUACCAAUUGUAGUGGCCAAGAGAAUUUUGUUCUCCUCUCAUUAAAAGGUAGCUUGUGCUUCUUUCUAUAAUGACAUUCAACAAAGAUACUAAUAGUACUCAUCUUCAUUCUGGAAAGCUCAUUAAACUAAUCUUUGUUCUGCAUAUUUUGAACAAUGUCAUAAUUCAUAUGAGCCAAUCUAGUAUGCUAUAAAGUAGCUGUGUUAUGCUUAAGAGUUUGAUCCACAUAAAAAUUGCUGGCAACAAUAAUAUAAAGCUUAUUCACUUUCCUACUAAGAGUAAGAAACUUUUCGGAAGCUUUAACAUUAGCAUAUAUCUCUAUAACAUUAAGCUUAAAUAAAAUAGAAAGCCCUUUAUCUAUGUUUUAUGAAAUAGAAAUCAAAUUUUUCUUCAUGCCAGGAACAUAGUAAAUAAUAUUCAUAAAAAUAGAAGAACCAAAAUAUGAUAUGAGAAAUAGAUCUUCAAUAUUUUUGACAGGGUAAAGUGAAUCAUAAGUAGUAGCAAAAGUAUUAAAAUUUGUAUAAUCACGUAGAUAAUCAAAUAUCUCUUUAUGAUUAAUAAAAUGAUUAGAACAUCCUGAAUCAAUAAACCAAUCAUAUGUAAAAUCAACAUUUGUUAUAUGAGAAGAAGUUGAAAUAUACAUAUGCUGAUAAUUAUGAUAAUUUGCAUCAACAGAGAAAUGAGAGCACAAUAGCAAUAUGAUGCAACAUUGGAGUACUGCUCGAGCUUCAUCCUAUAAUCUUGAAUUUUUUGAUAAAACUCUCCGCAUCUAAAAUAAUUUUCCUCAAAUUUAUAAUUUUCCUUUGAAUUGGAAUUUUUUCCCUCUCAAAUUCUCAAUUGAUAUUUUUCUGAAUUUUUAAAUUUAUUAGGUUUUUGAGCUCAACUAGCAAGCAUAUAAGCACUAUACUUAUUUAAACCACAAACCNNNNNNNNNNNNNNNNNNNNNNNNNNNNNNNNNNNNNNNNNNNNNNNNNNNNNNNNNNNNNNNNNNNNNNNNNNNNNNNNNNNNNNNNNNNNNNNNNNNNNNNNNNNNNNNNNNNNNNNNNNNNNNNNNNNNNNNNNNNNNNNNNNNNNNNNNNNNNNNNNNNNNNNNNNNNNNNNNNNNNNNNNNNNNNNNNNNNNNNNNNNNNNNNNNNNNNNNNNNNNNNNNNNNNNNNNNNNNNNNNNNNNNNNNNNNNNNNNNNNNNNNNNNNNNNNNNNNNNNNNNNNNNNNNNNNNNNNNNNNNNNNNNNNNNNNNNNNNNNNNNNNNNNNNNNNNNNNNNNNNNNNNNNNNNNNNNNNNNNNNNNNNNNNNNNNNNNNNNNNNNNNNNNNNNNNNNNNNNNNNNNNNNNNNNNNNNNNNNNNNNNNNNNNNNNNNNNNNNNNNNNNNNNNNNNNNNNNNNNNNNNNNNNNNNNNNNNNNNNNNNNNNNNNNNNNNNNNNNNNNNNNNNNNNNNNNNNNNNNNNNNNNNNNNNNNNNNNNNNNNNNNNNNNNNNNNNNNNNNNNNNNNNNNNNNNNNNNNGUAGGCUAGUUGCAAUAUUAAAUAAAACACAUAUCUCGCGCUUAUGCUUUAAUUAGCAUUAGAAAAAUAAACUAUUCUGAAUCAUGCAUUUAUUGACUACUAAUUACAAUAUUUGUUUCCCAAUAAGUGGGAUUAAUUCCCGAUACAUGUUUAAGAGCUACUCGGAACAAGUGGCUUAUGUUCGGUCAAAGUCCAAUUUGAUCCAAAUUUAAUACAAACAGAAUUAGAACUAAAAUUUGGAUCCAGUUCUCGCUAGUUUGUAGAUAGUAAGCCCUAGUGCAAUAGUUUGAUUGGUCCAUUAUGACAAAUAUAUCACAAAUUCAAAAUAUGAAAAUAAUUUAUCUCUAUUUAACAGUAAGAUUGUGUACAUCUGACCCUCUGACUUCAUAGUUGUAGGAACCUUGUCCACUGAGCUACCUUUUUCUGGUGAUAUGUCGUGUCUACUCCAACUUGAGUUGGUACCAAGUUUCAGAUGAGUUAGAGGGUGCAAUAAUAUUUUAUUGAAUUGAUUUUCUUCCAAAUGUGUUUAAUUGUGUAAAAUAAUGCACUCUAUGCUGUAUAACAUCACACCAGAUUUGACGUAACGUCAGCUGUACCAACCAGAUUCGAUCUAUGUCCACCCGACUCAUUGCAACCUAAGCAGCAAGAGAACUAGUGUGGUGGCUUGUAUAUGACAUGACUUUUAGCAAUUUUAGUCCUAAUCAUGAUAUUGCUAUAGGAUCUAGCACUUCGAUCCAUGUCCCUAAUUGGGUCAAAUUUAGUGUUACUUGGAUAUCAGCAUCCAGCUCCAAAAAUUGGUGUCGAGCAUUUGUAAGACGGAUAUGUAUCAAAAUCUUGGAUAAUUAUGAAGUAAUUUAGUAGUCAAUUUUAAAGAUCGGAACAGAGUUGAACUAUUUCAAUGAUUAGUUUGAUUCUAUAUUAUGAUAUUAAGAGUGACUGGUUGUUUUCGAAAUCACUAGUGCAAUCGAUCUGUUGAAUUUUUUUACCCCUUUUUUUCCUUAGCUGGAAGGGUUUUUCUUGCAAAAAACAAAAACUUUUUCCUUCCAACACUACAGAGACAUUUACAUAACUCCUAAGUCAAGCCGACGUUACCAGGCCUAGCUAAAAGAGACGAGCCACAGAAACUCACGAACGGUCAUCUAGGCGAUGCUAAUUUUGGGCCGGAGUUGUCACAAGGUAGCUCCAAGUCGGAGAGGUCUAAGCCUCUCAGAGAUCCGGGUUAUUGGAUCGGCCAUGCAGCCUUUGGGAGUGGGUGUGGGCCAAGGAAAAGUAAGGGGAAAAAACAAGGAUAGACUCAGAGAUGCAAGCUAUAUAUAUAUAUGACACCCAAUUCCAUAACAAGCGACGAGCCAUUAACAGGAAUAGAGCAGGCUCUAUUGAUCACUUGUGCCGCGCUCUCUGGAGGGAAGCGCUACAAAAGAGUCACUAGAUGCAAAUUUUAGCAGGGAGAAUUUGACAAGAACGAUUCUCUGUUACAUUUGCAAAGGUGCACCUAGAUUUCUUCAAAAUGGGAAAAUGACUCAAUAUGAUGGCUAGGUAGAUGGAACCGCAUGCAAGUUGUGGAUCUAGAAUCACAUCGAACUCUCCAGAAUGAUUUCUUGACAUAAAAUUUCAAUAUAUAUUAACCUACUCUUUGCAGAGCAUAACAAAGAAAGAAGGCCUUAAGGCCCAAGAGCGUUCGCCGCAUUGUUUUGGGGGGAACUCCACUACCUCUGGAUUUUGAGCUGUAGUACCCACAGCCUCCAAGAGGACUAGGGUUGUAUCAUUUGCACGAAGGAAGUAUUCACCUUUCUUCAUGCAAAUCCACCAUCGGAUCAUCCAUAAUGGAGUCCAAAGCGCUUUGAGAGCCGUGUGGUGCAUUGUUUAUCCACCCAUUUAGCUCUGGACAAAGAAGGCCUCAAGCCCCAAGAGCAUUGGCCGCAAUUUUUUCAUGCUGGCACCCUCUUAGAAAUUUAUCCACCCAUUUAGCUAUUAGUUUAGCAUUAUCAACAACAACAACAACAUUAAAGAAAGCAAUAAAACUGUGGCAUCGAUUAUUAAGGAACGAGACUCUCUUUCUCUCUCACAUACAAAACCCAUGAAAAAAAAAGAACUGAAAACUUAUCUACAUGUUUGGUUACUAGCUCGAUGCUAAUGAUGAUGAUAACAACAAUGACAGAGAGUAAUGACAUGGUGGUAUUAUUCGAUCCUAUCUAAACCCUGCUUUGACCAAUCCUUCGUACAUAAAUUUAUAGCCGGGCCAGGCCAAGCUGCGGAAGUGAAAGUCACAUUCGGUGAUUAUUCCCUGAGCACUUAGGAACGCAAUAAAUUCUAGAUUUGAAGAUCCUUGAGUUGGAUUAUCAUGUUUCAGAAGUUAAAACAAUGGAGGUGAUGUAAACUGUGGAAUCUCUUCCAGCUGUUUUGCACCUAGUUCAAUGUUAGAUGGAGAGCAAUAAAAUUGUGGGGCCAAUUAGCCAGGAACGUGAAUCCUUUUUAGAAAGACAAGAUCAAUUAGUAUGCGGGUGAUAAGACAGAUAAAUUACGGGCUCGUUUGGUUCGCGGAAUGCAUUUUUCCUCCUAAGAAUAUAAUUUUUGAAAAAUAAAUUUUCAGAAAAAGGAUGUCUAAAAGAAUACUUUUGACAUGUUUGAUUGAUCAUGGGAAAGUGACAAAUUUCCAAAGUGCUUAUGUUUGGUUGGCCAUCCACUUUCCUGAAAAAGUUAUGUAUAAUUCCUAUUAUACCCUUAAUAAAAAUCAGGUCUUUAAUGCCUCUUUAAUGCUGAAGGGUUUUUUUGAAAAAAAGUAAAAAUAGAGUGAUUUCCGCCUUAUGAAAAAGUAACUUUUUCAUGUUUCUCAUGGAAAAGUCUUUUCCAUGAAAUGUCGGAAUCAUAUUUCUAUGGGAAUACAACUUUUCCGUCUCUCUCCUUUGAAAAUUCCGACCAAACAAGAAGCAUCUCAUUACUUUUUCGUUGACCAUACUUGUCCCCUUUUUUUUCCUGCGAACCAAACGUGCCCUGCGUGGUGGCAUCAAUUAUUUAGGCAUCUUAGCGGCUUGUUUUACUGCAGUAACAACGUGGCAGACAGUCUUCGUGCUUUAGUAUAGGAUUCCAUUCAGGAGAAAUUUAAAAAAAAAAUCAGGAUUCCCACUUUUUUUUUUUUUGGCCUUUGGACUUGUGCCAUAUUCCGCUUACAGUUAUUACAUUUGCUCGUCCCAGUGGCUUCCUUUCCGGCUUCCUUUCCGGAAAGGAAGCCUAAAAAACCAUGUCCUCCGUUUUGUCAUUUUGAUGUCGAGCUCUUACAUGCUAUGCAUUUUUGGUUAGAUUGGGUCCUUCCGACCGUCCCACAUCUCCUUUAUUCGGAGCUAGUCUUCCUGCCCUCGAUCGGCACUUUCCACCGGCCUGCAUGAGCAUAUCACGCUGCAGGGAUAACGAUCUAAAGCUUUAUCCAAAUCAAAAAACAAAAGAAUACAGACUGGAAUGUGGGGCAUCAUUCGAUCAUAUCUCAACCGGGAUGCCUGUUGAAAUAGAAUGAACUCUAGUAUAUGAAAUAGUUUUUGAAACGUGAAUUAACACUGUCCUUAAGCGAAUUUUGUCCCAUUAUGUUGCUGUUGGUGAUCCAGCAAAUGCGCUCCAAGAUACAACAAAACCAAAAUAGAAUUCUAGCCAGCAAAACUAGGAUUUCCCGGAACAACGAAAAUGAAAGAUUUAUGUAGAAGAAGUUAUAUCAUUCUGUGAAGGAAAUUGGCAAUUUAUAACUCUGAAAUAAACUCUGAACCAACACAACCUUUGGAAUAGUGCAUGUUCAAAACAUAACUGCUAGUGCAGUUAUUUUGUGCAAAACGGAUAAGAACUGCCAAUAUAAAUUUUAUUUUACACGUGCCAAGUGCCAAUCUUUGAUAAAUUAAUAUUGGUUUUUCCUUCACAACUUUCCACCAAAAAGUUACUUUAACAUGUGUAGGAUAUGAAUGCUUAUUAAGCUAUCUAAAAAACUCUACAUAAGUAAUGUGGGACUAAAACCUCUCUCAAUAUUAUAAAUUAUUAAAGGAAGGAGACUUCCAACAACGGCAAGCGUGUAUAAAUUUACAGCCGAAACCCGGUGCAACAUUACAGGCAUCCCCAUGCUCGGAGAUACAGAACUUCGUGCAAUCUCGUAAAAGAAAAGAUGGUUAGCCUAUCCGUCGUCUCUUUCACGUACGAUGCUAGGGUUUCAGCUGCAAAUUAAUAUUCUUAAUCUGUGCGGUUGUUUUUUGGCGACAGACGCAGCCGUACUAUCGAGACAACAUUGGCGCCUCGUAUGACGGCGGGGGCGGCAGCUGGAACACUGGUGCGGCCUUUGCGUCCGGCUUCAGGGGCGGGUUCAACACCGGCGCCGAAUACCGGCACGGUGCAGGAGGCUGCUUCAACACGGGCGCGGCCUAUGAUGGCUCUGAUGUCUGGGGCGGCAACAACCUUGGAGCCCACUAUGCUGACGGCUCACGCGGCGGCGGCGGCAACAUCGGCGCCGCCUACAGAGGUACUGGCGGCGGCAAUGUCGGUGCCUGCUACGGAGGCAAUCCUGGCCGUCUUGGUGCUGGCUGCGGCGGUGAACGGAACCCCUGUCAGGGCUGGUGAGGCAGUCUGGAACGGC
rnacentral:lncRNA from 1 species